UGGAAGAUGAGCCCCAACUUCUAAAAAUGUGUCGCUACCAGGAUUGAGAUACAAACAGCAUUUGGGAAGGUAGCCACGUUCACAUUUUCAGAGCUCAAAGCAAGAUAUGACACUAAGCUCUUCUUCUCUUUUCUGAUUCUUGCAGGUCUCAUCUGAGUAGCAUCUUCCUGCCCUCCUUCCUGGAGAUAAGUAGGGCUUUUGGUGAGACAGACUUUCCCGACCCUCUGCCCAGCCGGUGCCCAUGCUUCUGUGGCUGCUGCUGCUGAUCCUGACUCCUGGAAGAGAACAAUCAGGGGUGGCCCCAAAAGCUGUACUUCUCCUCGAUCCUCCAUGGUCCACAGCCUUCAAAGGAGAAAGAGUGGCUCUCAUAUGCAGGGGAAUAUCACAUUCCCCAGCCCAGGGAGACACGUAUUGGUAUCGCAAUGAGAAGUUAUUGAAAAUAAAAUAUAACAAGAUCCAAAUUACAGAGUCUGGAAAUUAUCAAUGUAAGACCCGAGGAUCCUCCCUCAGUGAUGCCGUGCAUGUGGGAUUUUCACCUGACUGGCUGAUCCUGCAGGCUUCACAUCCUGUCUUUGAAGGAGACAAUGUCAUUCUGAGAUGUCAGGGGAAAGAUGACAAAAACACUCAUCAAAAGGUUUACUACAAGGAUGGAAAACAGCUUCCUAACAGUUAUAAUUUAGACAAUAUCACAGUGAAUUCAGUCUCCAGAGAUAAUAGCAAAUAUCAUUGUACUGCUACUUGUAAGAGGUUUUACAUGAUUAACUUUAAAGAAACUUCAAAACACCUAAAUAUCCAAGUUCAAGAGGCCAAAUAUCCAGCUGCAAUUCUCCUUCUUCAGAGAUAGCCAGACCCUCGGAUCAGGCUGGAGCAGGUCCCCCAAACUCCAGAUCCCUGCCAUGUGGACUGAAGACUCGGGGUCUUACUGGUGUGAGGUGGAGACAGUGACUCACAGCAUCAAAAAAAGGAGCCUGAGAUCUCAGAUACGUGUACAGAGAGUUCCUGUGUCUAAUGUGAAUCUAGAGAUCCGGCCCACCGGAGGGCAGCUGAUUGAAGGAGAAAAUAUGGUCCUUAUUUGCUCAGUAGCCCAGGGUUCAGGGACUGUCACAUUCUCCUGGCACAAAGAAGGAAGAGUAAGAAGCCUGGGUAGAAAGAGCCAGCGUUCCCUGUUGGCAGAGCUGCAUGUUCUCACCGUGAAGGAGAGUGAUGCAGGGAAAUACUACUGUGCAGCUGAUAACGUUCACGGCCCCAUCCUCAGCACGUGGAUUCGAGUCACUGUGAGAAUUCCAGUAUCUCACCCCAUCCUCACCUUCAGGGCUCCCAGGGCCCACGCUGUGGUUGGGGACCUGCUGGAGCUUCACUGUGAGUCCCUGAGAGGCUCUCCCCCGAUCCUGUACCGAUUUUAUCAUGAGGAUGUCACCCUGGGGAACAGCUCAGCCCCCUCUGGAGGAGGAGCCUCCUUCAACCUCUCUCUGACUGCAGAACAUUCUGGAAACUACUCCUGUGAUGCAGACAAUGGCCUGGGGGCCCAGCAUAGUCAUGGAGUGAGUCUCAGGGUCACAGUUCCGGUGUCUCGCCCCGUCCUCACCCUCAGGGCUCCCGGGGCCCAGGCUGUGGUGGGGGACCUGCUGGAGCUUCACUGUGAGUCCCUGAGAGGCUCCUUCCCGAUCCUGUACUGGUUUUAUCACGAGGAUGACACCUUGGGUAACAGCUCGGCCCACUCUGGAGGAGGGGCAUCCUUCAACCUCUCUCUGACUACAGAACAUUCUGGAAACUACUCAUGUGAGGCUGACAAUGGCCUGGGGGCCCAGCACAGCAAAGUGGUGACACUCAAUGUUACAGGAACUUCCAGGAGCAGAACAGGCCUUACCACUGUGGGAGUCACGGGGCUGGUGCUCAGCAUCCUCGGCCUUGCUGCUGCUGCUGCUCUGCUGCAUUACGCCAGGGCCCGAACGAAACUAGAAGGACUUUCCGCCACUGGAACAUCUAGUCACAGUCCUAGUGAGUGUCAGGAGGCUUCUUCAUCCAGGUUUUCCAGGAUAGACCCUCAAGAGCCCACUCACUCUAAACCACUAGCCCCGAUGGAGCUGGAGCCGAUGUACAGCAAUGUAAAUCCUGGAGAUAGCAACCUGAUUUAUUCCCAGAUCUGGAGCAUCCAGCAUACAAAAGAAAACUCAGCUAAUUGUCCAACGAUGCAUCAAGAGCAUGAGGAACUUACAGUCCUCUAUUCAGAAUUGAAGAAGACACACCCAGAUGACUCUGCAGGGGAGGCUAGCAGCAGACACAGGGCCCAUGAAAAUGAUGAAGAAAACUAUGAGAAUGUACCACGUGUAUUAUUGGCCUCAGACCACUGGCCCCUUACCCAGAGUGGCCCACAAGAAACAGCCUGCACCAGUUUUUUUUCUGUUCUCUCCAACCACACAUCAUCCAUCUCUCCAGACUCUGCCUCCUACGAGGCUGGGCUGCAGGAUUCUGAACCUAAUAAAGGACAAAAUUCAAGAUUUUCCAUGUCUUUGUAACACUUAGCCCUGGGCAAAUCAGAGUAUGUGAGUGGAAGGAGGGGUGAGCCCUAACUGUACAUCUCGGAUAUAACAAAAGUGCAAAUUCUGAUUGCCCUGUAAAAUGAAUUAUUCUCAUGCAUUGCUCUACUUGACUUUUCCCUUUGAAUUCACAACUAAAAACCCAUAGCCCAGAAAUCUAAAAAACAGUAAUUUUAGUGGAGCUUUUGAAAAUAAAAGACCAUUGGAAAAAGUA
rnacentral:sRNA from 1 species